UAAAGCAUUCAACAUGGUGUCAGGCA
rnacentral:piRNA from 1 species